rnacentral:misc_RNA from 1 species
CGCGACGAGCAGGGACGACGGGUGGUGGAGGCUCCGACGAUCUUCUACAUGCCGCAUUGUGAGGCUGUGCUGUAUGAUAAUUUGUUGCGGGCUAACUGGCGGCCGGUGGCGCUGAACCAGAUGGUGGUGCUGGGGAAUAGCUUUAGUGAGUAUGGGCGGUAUGUUGAAGAGAUGGGAGGAUGUGGCGGGUCAGUUGCAGUUGGGAUGGAG